rnacentral:rRNA from 1 species
GACGAACGCUGGCGGCGUGCUUAACACAUGCAAGUCGAACGGUGUGGCGAACGGGUGAGUAAUACGUGAGUAACCUGCCUUCUCCUUUGGGAUAAGCCUGGGAAACUGGGUCUAAUACUGGAUAGUGGGGGAUGGGCUCACGGCCUAUCAGCUUGUUGGUGGGGUGAUGGCCUACCAAGGAGGGGACGGGUAGCCGGCCUGAGAGGGUGACGGGCCACAGUGGGACUGGGAUACGGCCUAGGCACCUACGGGAGGCAGCAAGGGGGAGUAGUGCAGAAUGGACGGAAGUCUGAUGCAGCGUCGCCGCGUGGGGGAGUAAGGCUUUCGGGUUGUAAACUGCAUUUGAUGCAGAAAGGGUAGGUGUUGAAUAAGCGCCGGCUAACUACGUGCCAGCAGCCGCGGUAAUAC